UUGCUCACUUCGGCAGCACAUAUACUAAAAUUGGAACGAUACAGAGAAGAUUAGCACGGCCCCUGCUCAAGGAUGACACACAAAUUUGUGAAGCGUUCCAUAUUUUU
rnacentral:snRNA from 1 species